UUUUGCGCUAUUGUGUGUGACAUGGCAUGUUAAGCCGUUCGCCAUAGCAUUAAACUUUGUUCUAGCUAAGCCUUGGCUAAAUAACAACACCAACACCACUGAAACGAAAUCAUUUAACGCGAUAUUGUGUGUACUCAUUUCACCGCUCUCGUUCGCUGCGGCGUGCGCGCGAUCGUGCGAUCGCGCACAUCAACACUUAAAUCAGAUUCUUUGUUCUAAUUGAGGCGAAUUUAUCUAAAGAGCGGAAUAUUUCAAUGAAUUUGCUUGAACUUUAUGUAUGCAUAUAUUAUAGUUUAGAUAAAAACGCAACAAAGCAUAAACAAAUUGAAAUGUUUCGCUUAUUCGUUAGUUUCAUUCAAUGUGAAAUUUUACAUUAUAUUUACUACUCUCUGUGUUGGUAAUUACUUUGCUGUCGAAAUAUGAUUGCUCCAAAUGUUUGUCAUCGUUUUCGGGCUUGUUUUGAACGCUUCGAUUGGCGAAAUAUCACACGUAGCGAUUUGAUUACAUUCAGCAAAUACAUACGACGCAUAAAGCGUGAUAAACAUUUGUGUAUUUCAUUAUGCAUCCUGUUCCAAUCAUUUGGAUCGUCAAAUGCUGAUAACAGCGAAAAAGUAUCAAUUUAUGGAAUGGAUUGUCCACACACGCAGUGUGCCCAGUAUACGGUUUGGUUUUUCUGCUGGAAAACAUAUUUCAUGUAAAUAAAAAAAUUAUCGCAAAAUAAACAGAAAACUUCAUAAAUAUUCACUGAUAUUGGUCGCUGCAUGGUUGUCGUCGCUGCGGGCUUUUUUUUGGGGGGGGAAACGCAAACUAAUUAUAUUCAAUCGCAUUCUAUCGACGAAGGAAUGAAAAUGCAAACACAAUUAUUACGUAUGUGAGUGUGUGUAUUUAUAUGAGCGAGAGAGAAGCCCAAGUAAAAGUCAUUAUUGAAAAUGGUUUCUUUGUCGUCGCUCCGGCUUUUCGAACCUCGUUUAUUUAUCACCCAUGCAGCUAUUAUUGGUUAAAUCAAUGUUCAUCCGUUGGGUGCAACGAUCAAGGAGUCGGCCAUUUAAUAACAAAUGUUGAUCAGCAGCAGACGACGACGAUGAAGAUGACGAUGACGAUGACGGCCAAUAACAUUUCCAUACACCGAGAAUGACCGAGCGAGCAAACGACUUUCAGUGUUUGCUGCUGCUGAUGGCGUGAAAUUCGAAUUAACAACAAUACAACAACAACGAAAAUGGAAGAAUGUGGAAGAGGCCCAUAUAUAUAUAUAUAUAUACGAGCAACAAAGUCGAUUGAAGAAUAAACAAUUGAGCAAACAAAAUUGAUAUAAGCAGCAAUAGCAUAUGGUUUAAACAUGUCGAUAGCAUGCAUCCAGGUUUUACAUUGAAAUGAAUUACAUAUUAACCAGUUGCCAUUUAAUUGUUGGGUGGAGGAAGAACGGUAUUCAUACCACUGAAUCGCCGCUUAUCGAUUCGUAGAAUUUUUUUCGAGCUCCGACUUCAUGUGUUCAAAAUGAAUUCAAAAAAAGCGUCUAACGAUUCUUUGCGGCGAUUUCGUUAUUGCAGAGAGAUACAGCGCAGCAGGAUACGAUUGAGAUCUUCGCCCGGCCGCACUACGUCGACAUAAUCGCCGAGUUCAUCGCUGGAAAAUAGAAGAAAUUUGGUUAGAAAUUACCUCAACCCAAGCAAAC